rnacentral:rRNA from 1 species
AACUUUCAGCAAUGGAUCUCUUGGCUCUCGCAUCGAUGAAGAACGCAGCGAAAUGCGAUAAGUAAUGUGAAUUGCAGAAUUCAGUGAAUCAUCGAAUCUUUGAACGCAUCUUGCGCUCCUUGGUAUUCUGAGGAGCAUGCCUGUUUGAGUGUCA